rnacentral:rRNA from 1 species
AAGAAGGCCUGCGGGUUGUAAAGCACUUUCAUUGGGAAAGAAAAACCCGGAGCUAAUACCUCCGGCAUUGACGGUACCCAAAGAAUAAGCACCGGCUAACUCAGUGCCAGCAGCCGCGGUAAUACUGAGGGUGCGAGCGUUAAUCGGAAUUACUGGGCGUAAAGCGAGUGUAGGCGGUUGCCUAAGUCGGAUGUGAAAGCCCCGGGCUUAACCUGGGAAUUGCAUUCGAUACUGGGUGACUAGAGUUUGGUAGAGGUAAGUGGAAUUCCGGGUGUAGCGGUGAAAUGCGUAGAUAUCCGGAGGAACAUCAGUGGCGAAGGCGGCUUACUGGACCAAAACUGACGCUGAGGCUCGAAAGCGUGGGGAGCAAACAGGAUUAGAUACCCUGGUAGUCCACGCCCUAAACUAUGUCAACUAGACGUUGGGCUCA